rnacentral:lncRNA from 1 species
AAUCACUCUGUCCAAUUUCCUUUGGUAAAUGAAUUCACUCUCAUAAUUUCUAAUACCAUGUCUGUGCUACUUGACUCUAAAUCUGUAUCUACAUCCUGUCUCUUUCUGCUCUGGACUAGACGUCUUCACUUGAGUAUUUUAUUCAGUGCCUCACAUUCUACAUGUGCAAAACCGAAUUUAUCGUUUUUCUACUCCACCCACACCAGCUACCAGGAAGUUAAGCUUGAGUUCCUUCUUUCCCUCAAUCUGUAGAGCUAGCCAGUCUUUCUACAUUAUAUUGGUUAUUCCUUUAAUCUUUUGUGCCCAUGUUGCGUCCACUUUAGUCCAGGCUUCUUUCCUUUGCUCAUUCAUUCAUUUAGUUAUUAACAUGUAUUUCUUGGCUGUCUACUCUCUAUCAGGCAGUAUUCUAGGUACCGAGAGCACAUAAGUAACAAAACAUACAAACAUCCCUUCCCUCACAGAGAUUACAUUCUUGUGGGAAAGGGAAGACAGAUAAUGAACAAAAUAAAUAAGUAAAAGACAUUGUGAUUAGAUGGUAAUAGUGCUUUGGAAAAAAUUAAAGCCAUUGGUGAGGAUGACUUGAAUAAAGGAAUGAGAAUAUAUAGAGAAAAAAUCCAAGCACUAGGCCGAGGAGCACUUCAUCAUUAAGAAGAGGAGAUGAGAAAUCAGCAAUGGGGACCAAAAAGCACAGUUCAUUGAGACAAGAGAAGAACCAUGAGACUACUGAGUCUUUAAAGCCAUGUGAAGGAUAUCUAACAAAGGAAGGAGUAAUGAUGUCUUUAGAUUUAGUCACAUGGAGAUGAGUGAAGUGCUCUUCAUCUCC